rnacentral:rRNA from 1 species
GACGAACGCUGGCGGCGUGCCUAAUACAUGCAAGUAGAACGCUGAAGGAGGAGCUUGCUUCUCCGGAUGAGUUGCGAACGGGUGAGUAACGCGUAGGUAACCUGCCUGGUAGCGGGGGAUAACUAUUGGAAACGAUAGCUAAUACCGCAUAAGAGUAGAUGUUGCAUGACAUUUGCUUAAAAGGUGCAAUUGCAUCACUACCAGAUGGACCUGCGUUGUAUUAGCUAGUUGGUGAGGUAACGGCUCACCAAGGCGACGAUACAUAGCCGACCUGAGAGGGUGAUCGGCCACACUGGGACUGAGACACGGCCCAGACUCCUACGGGAGGCAGCAGUAGGGAAUCUUCGGCAAUGGACGGAAGUCUGACCGAGCAACGCCGCGUGAGUGAAGAAGGUUUUCGGAUCGUAAAGCUCUGUUGUAAGAGAAGAACGAGUGUGAGAGUGGAAAGUUCACACUGUGACGGUAUCUUGCCAGAAAGGGACGGCUAACUACGUG